UGUGGAGGAGACAGUGAUGGAGGUGGCUUCAGUGGUGGAGAUGGAAGUGGAGGACUCUGCUGAGGUGGUGGUGGUGGGUUCUGUGGAGGUCACACCAGUGGAGGUGACAGGAGUCGAGGUGGCUCCAGUGGUGGAGAUGGAAGUGGAGGAGAGUCCUGAAGUAGUUGAGGCUGACGUUGGGGUCAUGUCUGUUGAGGUGACAUCAGUGGAGGUGGCUCCAGUGGUCAAGAGGGAUGUGGAGAAUUGUCCUGAGGUGGUUGGGGCUGUCGUGGGGGUCACCUCAGUGGAGAUGACAGGAGUUGAGGUGGCUCCAGUGGUGGAGAAGGAUGUGGAGGAGACUCCUGAGGUGGUGGGGGCUUGUGUGGUGGUUAUUUCCAUGGAGGUCACACCGGUGGAGGUGGCCUCAGUGGUGGAGAUGGAAGUGGAGAAGAGUCCUGAAGUAGUUGGGGUCAUGUCUGUUGAGGUGAUACCAGUGGAGGUGGCAUCAGUGGUGGAGAAGGUGGUGGAGGGGAGUCCUAAGGUGGUGGAGAGGAGUCCUGAGGUGGUGGUGGGUUCUGUGGAGAUCACCACGGUGGAGAUGACAGGAGUUGAGGUGGCUCCAGUGGUGGAGAAGAAUGUGGAGGAAUGUCCUGAGGUGGUUGGGGCUGUCGUGGGUGUUAUCUCCAUUGAGG
rnacentral:lncRNA from 1 species